rnacentral:rRNA from 1 species
CUACGUGCCAGCAGCCGCGGUAAUACGGAGGGUGCGAGCGUUAAUCGGAAUAACUGGGCGUAAAGGGCACGCAGGCGGUUAUUUAAGUGAGGUGUGAAAGCCCCGGGCUUAACCUGGGAAUUGCAUUUCAGACUGGGUAACUAGAGUACUUUAGGGAGGGGUAGAAUUCCACGUGUAGCGGUGAAAUGCGUAGAGAUGUGGAGGAAUACCGAAGGCGAAGGCAGCCCCUUGGGAAUGUACUGACGCUCAUGUGCGAAAGCGUGGGGAGCAAACAGGAUUAGAUACCCUGGUAGUCCACGCUGUAAACGCUGUCGAUUUGGGGAUUGGGCUUUAAGCUUGGUGCCCGUAGCUAACGUGAUAAAUCGACCGCCUGGGGAGUACGGCCGCAAGGUUAAAACUCAAAUGAAUUGACGGGGGCCCGCACAAGCGGUGGAGCAUGUGGUUUAAUUCGAUGCAACGCGAAGAACCUUACCUACUCUUGACAUCCAUGGAAUCUUGUAGAGAUACGGGAGUGC